UACGGGGGGGGGCAAGCGUUGUUCGGAAUUACUGGGCGUAAAGGGCUUGUAGGUGGCCAACUAAGUCAGACGUGAAAUCCCUCGGCUUAACCGGGGAACUGCGUCUGAUACUGGAUGGCUGGAGUGUGGGAGAGGGAUGCGGAAUUCCAGGUGUAGCGGUGAAAUGCGUAGAUAUCGAGAGGAACACCUGCGGCGAAGGCGGGUAGCUGGGCCGACACUGACGCUGAGGAGCGAAAGCGUGGGGAGCGAACAGG
rnacentral:rRNA from 1 species